GAUUGUUCAAUUUCGCGUGUUGAAAUUGGAACUCCGAUGUAGUCCAAUUUGUAGCCUAUGUUUUAAUUGAUUCCGAUAUAAGCUGUCAAAUCCAGGAUUAUGAUAUGGUGAUUAAAACAACAACAACAAUAAUAAUAAUUACAAUAGUUCUCCCUGUUGCCUUGCAUAAAAAUAAUGCAAUUCGAAUCUGAUAAGAUCUAAACUCAACCCUAAUUUUUUUAUUCGAUUCAAUAUAAAUUAUAAGUUUAAAUGGUGUUUGAAUGAUUUUUUCCCAACUCAAUUAAUUUAAAAUUUGAUUGAAUUAAUCCAAACCCAAAUUUCUCACCCAAAUGGAUGACAUAAAAUUAACAACCUACAUCGCACUAAAUACAACUCCAAAGGCGCAUAAUAAAAAAAAUAAUGCUUAAAAAAUAACUCAUGUGAUCGCUUAAAAGAUUAGAUGACUUUUGCGAAGUUCUUCAGAAAAAAAAAAAAAUGCACCCUGCGAUUAGAUGACUUUUGCGAAGUUCUUCAGAGCUUAAAAGAUUAGAUGACUUUUGCGAAGUUCUUCAGAAAAAAAAAAAAAUGCACCCUGCGCCACGUGCUUUAAUAAAAACCGCGUGACAAGUACCAAACUUAAACUCAGGAAAUAAACAACAUCAGUUUAAAAUGAAGAGAGCAAAUUGAACUCAAAGAAUACAAAAAUAAGAAUAAAGUACAAAAUUGAAUUCUAAAGAAUAUGAAAAUAAGAAUAAAAUGUAGUAAGAUUUAACCUCGCACUUUAAAAUAAUAAUAAUCUCAUGCCAAACUUUGAGUUUUUGUCUAUAAAUAGAGGCCCAAAUAAGAGAGAAAUGGCAGGUGCUAUUUAGUUAAGACCAUAAAUUGUUUGUGUUGGAAAUAAGAGAUUUUGAAAUUCAACUCCUACUUAUAUAAGUGAAGACGAGAUUAGGUUGCCGUCAGAUUAAAUAAUAAAAAAAAAAAGAGAGAGCGAAAGAGAGAGAAAUAAAUCUUUAUCCAAAUACUUAGACUAAUUUUGAUCAACUUCUUGUCAAAAUACCAAAACAAGCCUCCUGAAUCCUCUGUUUCUUCUAGUAAAAAAUCUCACAAAUUGAACUAUCUUUUACGAAUACCAUGCCUAAAGCUCAACCAAUGAAGUUCCUUAACCAAAUCAAGGAAAAAGAAGAAUUUAAUCCAACUCAUUGAUAGAUAAUAUAUAUUUUUCCUUGGUAAUCUUAAAAUUAAAAGUAUAUUAAUCACUUCUGAACUCUUCACUCAGACCUUAAAAAAAAUUCUUACCGAUACCUUCGGCCAUGGAAAUUCUCUGAGUCCUUGACCAAUAUUCUGCAUUUGAAAUUAAUUUUUCUCCGGACCCUCUUAGCAAUAACUUGUAAAGAGUGCAAUAAUU
rnacentral:lncRNA from 1 species